ACAGUACAAACUGAGCAGGCGAUGGUCUUUCGACCGUGGGGCUGGGUUACCGAAGUGUAGCAGCAGAGUGGGUUUGCACCCUCUGUGGGACAGU
rnacentral:ncRNA from 1 species